rnacentral:misc_RNA from 1 species
AAGUCGUAACAAGGUUUCCGUAGGUGAACCUGCGGAAGGAUCAUUAAUAAGUAAGGGAUGCUUUUUUAGAGGGUCCGACCCCAAUCAUUUUCCAACCCUGUGCACACACACUACUUUUUAAUACACAUUUUAAAAACUGUAAAAGUCUAUAAGGAUGUAAAAUCUCUUCAUUGGAUAAAAAAAACAAAAA